CCUACGGGUGGCAGCAGUGAGGAAUAUUGGUCAAUGGGCGGAAGCCUGAACCAGCCAAGUAGCGUGCGGGAUGAAGGCCCUACGGAUCGUAAACCGCUUUUGCACGGGGAUAACACCCUCCACUUGUGCACGUCUGCAUGUACCGUGCGAAUAAGCACCGGCUAAUUCCGUGCCAGCAGCCGCGGUAAUACGGAAGGCCCGAGCGUUAUCCGGAUUCAUUGGGGCUAAAGGGAGCGUAGGCGGGCGUUCAAGUCAGCUGUAAAAUCGCGCGGCUCAACCGCGCCCCGCAGUUGAAACUGGAAGACUUGAGUUGACAACAGGCAGGCGGAAUGCGUGGUGUAGCGGUGAAAUGCAUAGAUAUCACGAGGAACCCCGAUUGCGAAGGCAGCACGCCGGGGUGCGACUGACGCUGAGGCUCGAAGGUGCGGGUAUCAAACAGGAUUAGAUACCCCAGUAGUC
rnacentral:rRNA from 1 species